rnacentral:rRNA from 1 species
GUGUCAGCAGCCGCGGUAAGACGAACCGUGCAAACGUUGUUCGGAAUCACUGGGCUUAAAGGGCGCGUAGGCGGGCAAGCAAGUCCGGGGUGAAAUCUUUCGGCUUAACCGGAAAAGUGCCUUGGAUACUGCUUGUCUGGAGGGAGGUAGGGGCAUGUGGAACUUCUGGUGGAGCGGUGAAAUGCGUUGAUAUCAGAAGGAACGCCGGUGGCGAAAGCGACGUGCUGGACCUCUUCUGACGCUGAUGCGCGAAAGCUAGGGGAGCAAACGGGAUUAGAUACCCCGGUAGUCCUAGCCCUAAACGAUGGGUACUAGAUUGUGGACUAGACAUGGGUUCCCAGUCGAAGCAAAAGUGUUAAGUACCCCGCCUGGGGAGUAUGGUCGCAAGGCUGAA